GCCUUCGUGGUGUAGUGGUCAGCACGCUCGACGCGUAUUCGAGAGGUCCGUGGUUCGAGUCCAGACGAGGGCA
rnacentral:tRNA from 1 species